rnacentral:rRNA from 1 species
AACGCGAAGAACCUUACCUGGGCUUGAACCGCUACUGACCAACGGUAGAAAUAUCGUCUUCCCGCAAGGGACAGUAGUAGAGGUGCUGCAUGGCUGUCGUCAGCUCGUGCCGUGAGGUGUUGGGUUAAGUCCCGCAACGAGCGCAACCCUUAUUCGUAGUUGCCACCCGCAAGGGGGAACUCUACGAGGACUGCUCCGGAUAACGGAGAGGAAGGUGGGGAUGACGUCAAGUCAGCACGGCCUUUAUGUCCAGGGCUACACACGUGUUACAAUGCGCGGCACAGACUGUUGCGAACCCGCGAGGGGGAGCUAAUCGGAAAAAACCGCGCUCAGUUCGGAUUGCAGUCUGCAACUCGACUGCAUGAAGCUGGAAUCGCUAGUAAUGGCGUAUCAGAUCGACGCCGUGAAUACGUUCCCGGGCCUUGUA